rnacentral:lncRNA from 1 species
UGUGAUCGUGAGCUGACAUUAAAGACAAAUUCCUGUUGCUGCAAAAAAAUCAGGUCAAGAUGAGAGGUUUUUAUUGAUUUUUCUCUCCUUAAUCCUUCUCUUCCUCCCUGCAAAGUAUGAAGGCUAGCUUGGAUCUACCAGAUUUCAAGAAAGAGCUGACUUGUUCUAUCCAUUCGCAUCAUUUGAUCAAACCACUUGUAAUUGCAGGUGCACGCAGGCCUUGCUGUGAGUGCCUCUAGGGAGAUGGAAAGGAACAUCUGGUUAUGGCUCCAAGGUUUGCUGUGCAGUAGGGGAUGAUGGCUGAGAUGGCAAAGCAUCUGAGAUGUCAUGUAAUGGAUUUCAAGAAUAGCAUAUGUGAGAUGCACCCAAAAAGCCUGAAGGCUUGUGUUGACAGAGUUGAUGCUCCUGUGUGAGACUCGUGUUCUGUCUCAGCAACACAAGUCUCUCUCAAAAUUCAUCACUGGGAAGGCAAAAGUCAUCUUCAAGAAUGAGGCCCAAGAAAUCCGGAAUUCUCUACACAAGGCAAUGGUCUCACAAGCGGACAACUGCCUCGGCAGAGAAAAAUGAACAGG